rnacentral:rRNA from 1 species
GACGAACGCUGGCGGCGUGCUUAACACAUGCAAGUCGAACGGAAAGGCCCUGCUUUUGUGGGGUGCACGAGUGGCGAACGGGUGAGUAACACGUGAGUAACCUGCCCUUGACUUUGGGAUAACUUCAGGAAACUGGGGCUAAUACCGGAUAGGAGCUCCUGCUGCAUGGUGGGGGUUGGAAAGUUUCGGCGGUUGGGGAUGGACUCGCGGCUUAUCAGCUUGUUGGUGGGGUAGUGGCUUACCAAGGCUUUGACGGGUAGCCGGCCUGAGAGGGUGACCGGCCACAUUGGGACUGAGAUACGGCCCAGACUCCUACGGGAGGCAGCAGUGGGGAAUAUUGCACAAUGGGCGGAAGCCUGAUGCAGCAACGCCGCGUGCGGGAUGACGGCCUUCGGGUUGCAAACCGCUUUCGCCUGUGACGAAGCGUGAGUGACGGUAAUGGGUAAAGAAGCACCGGCUAACUACGUG